rnacentral:rRNA from 1 species
GACGAACGCUGGCGGCGUGCCUAAUACAUGCAAGUCGAACGAACCGCGACUAAGUGCUUGCACUAAGUCAAGGUGAGUGGCGAACGGGUGAGUAACACGUGGGUAACCUACCUCAUAGUGGGGGAUAACAGUCGGAAACGACUGCUAAUACCGCAUAGGACAUAGGAUCACAUGAUCCAGUGAGGAAAGGUGGCGCAAGGUAUCGCUAAGAGAUGGACCCGCGGUGCAUUAGCUAGUUGGUAGGGUAAAGGCCUACCAAGGCGAUGAUGCAUAGCCGACCUGAGAGGGUGAUCGGCCACAUUGGGACUGAGACACGGCCCAAACUCCUACGGGAGGCAGCAGUAGGGAAUCUUCCGCAAUGGACGCAAGUCUGACGGAGCAACGCCGCGUGAGUGAAGAAGGUCUUCGGAUCGUAAAGCUCUGUUGUUAGAGAAGAACAGCGCAUAGAGUAACUGCUAUGCGUGUGACGGUAUCUAACCAGAAAGCCACGGCUAACUACGUG